AUUUAUAUAGUUUAAUUAUAAAACAUUUCAUUUUCAAUGAAAAAAUGAGGUAAACUCUUUAAAUA
rnacentral:tRNA from 1 species